GGCGAACGCUGGCGGCAGGCCUAACACAUGCAAGUCGAACGGAUCCUUCGGGAUUAGUGGCGGACGGGUGAGUAACACGUGGGAACGUGCCCUUUGGUUCGGAACAACUCAGGGAAACUUGAGCUAAUACCGGAUGUGCCCUUCGGGGGAAAGAUUUAUCGCCAUUGGAGCGGCCCGCGUCUGAUUAGCUAGUUGGUGAGGUAAAGGCUCACCAAGGCGACGAUCGGUAGCUGGUCUGAGAGGAUGAUCAGCCACACUGGGACUGAGACACGGCCCAGACUCCUACGGGAGGCAGCAGUGGGGAAUCUUGCGCAAUGGGCGAAAGCCUGACGCAGCCAUGCCGCGUGAAUGAUGAAGGUCUUAGGAUUGUAAAAUUCUUUCACCGGGGACGAUAAUGACGGUACCCGGAGAAGAAGCUCCGGCUAACUCCGUGCCAGCCGCCGCGGUAA
rnacentral:rRNA from 1 species